GGAGCGAUGAAUUUUCUCUUUUGGUGUCGUCAAAGCAAAAGGGCAGGAUGAAGCGAAGCAGCCUUAUUGGUGAAGGAUCGUGGAUCGGGUAUUGAAACGGUCGAACUCUCGCGAGCCGCCUUGAAGGGGAUACGCACAGCUGGGGCCCAGCAGUCAGCCGGUGAGACUAUUGCUUUUUUUUUAAUAAAGGGUGAGACUAUUGCUUGACUCGCCUUUUACGCGGUUCAGGGAUGGAACAAUGACACCUCCAGGUUAGGAUCUUCUAUUCAUGCGAGUGUGAGCGCGGCUCGUCAUGUCUUUCCCCUUCCUCUGCAGUUCAUGCCAAUCAGGAAUUAAUUGGGUUUUUUUA